CCCCUACUAUGAACCAUAAUGUAUGGUGUCCCUAUCCCCUCGCUAUGAUUAAGGGUGUGUAGUCCGUGGGUGCUCAGGCAGUGUUGUGUUGCCUAUCCUUAUGUGUCAUGCGCGGCCUGAGCGUGCAGUGGGCUCUUUCAAAGCGGAAGUGAUCCGGUGCGUCUUUGCAGAGGCUGCUCCUAAAGAGCUGGGUAAGGGUUUCUGCAAUGUUUUCCCCAUUCUCCCUCAGCCUCUGGCACUCCACGUAUCCUGAUGUUACUGCGGCGACUCCUGUUGUCGAGAUUCUCAAGUUGCCAUUGCAUGGCCAGUAAAAGAGAGCCCUGCCAUUGAAUGGCUGUUACAGAGGCCCUGGCUUUCUCUGCUGUAGCCUCCUUUCGCUGCUCGACAGAGUUCAUGCGGGACUCCUGUGCUGUGAUGCCCGCUUUUAAUUCUGCGACUUCGGCUUUUAGUACGGCAAGCAGGGUGGUGGAGGCUUGUUGUGUUGGAGGUCUUCCUUUUUGACCAUCGAGGCAGACAUGCGUCUUAAUUCUGCCCCGAUAUCGGCUAUGGUGACAUGUUCCCCA